GUCACGUGGCCUGGGGGUCACGUGACCUCGACCUUUAGCGGGGAAAAUUUUCCGCUAGAUUUAGCGGGAAAAUUUUUUCCGCUAAAUUUAGCAAGGAAAAUUUUCCGCCAAAUCUAGCGGGGAAAAGUUUCCGCUAAAUUUAGCAAGGAAAAUUUUCCGCUAAAUAUAGCGGGGAAAAUUUUCCGCUAAAUU
rnacentral:SRP_RNA from 1 species